rnacentral:rRNA from 1 species
UGAAUAUACCGGUUCUCGUUAGAUCACCGAAGUCAAGCAUCAUUGGGCGCGGUCAGUACUUGGGUGGGUGACCAUCUGGGAACACUGCGUGCCGUU